UACGGAGGUCUCAAGCGUUGUUCGGAUUCAUUGGGCGUAAAGGGUGCGUAGGCGGCGAGGUAAGUCGGAUGUGAAAUCCCGGGGCUCAACCCUGGAACUGCAUUCGAUACUGCUUUGCUUGAGUACUGGAGAGGAGACUGGAAUUUACGGUGUAGCAGUGAAAUGCGUAGAUAUCGUAAGGAAGACCAGUGGCGAAGGCGAGUCUCUGGACAGUUACUGACGCUGAGGCACGAAGGCCAGGGGAGCAAACGGG
rnacentral:rRNA from 1 species